rnacentral:rRNA from 1 species
GAUGAACGCUAGCGGCAGGCCUAAUACAUGCAAGUCGAGGGGUAUGGGAGAGCUUGCUUUCCCUGAGACCGGCGCACGGGUGCGUAACGCGUAUGCAACCUACCCUUUUCUGGGGGAUAGCCCGAAGAAAUUCGGAUUAAUACCGCAUAAGACCACACGGCGGCAUCGUCGAGGGUCAAACAUUUAUGGGAGAAGGAUGGGCAUGCGUGCCAUUAGCUAGUUGGCGGGGUAACGGCCCACCAAGGCUACGAUGGCUAGGGGAUCUGAGAGGAUGGCCCCCCACACUGGUGCUGAGGCACGGACCAGACUCCUACGGGAGGCAGCAGUAAGGAAUAUUGGUCAAUGGGCGCAAGCCUGAACCAGCCAUGCCGCGUGCAGGAAGACGGCCGUCCGGGUUGUAAACUGCUUUUGUACGGGAAUAAACCUCCGGUCGUGACCGGAGCUGAAUGUACCGUAAGAAUAAGGAUCGGCUAACUCCGUGCCAGCAGCCGCGGUAAAAC